GUCCGCACGAGCGCAACCCUUAUCCUUAGAUUGCCAGCACGCUAAUGGUGGGAACUCUAANGAGACUGCCGGUGACAAACCGGAGGAAGGUGGGGACGACNUCAAGUCAUCAUGGCCCUUACGAGAUGGGCUACGCACGUGCUACAAUGGCAAGUACAAAGGGUUGCAAACUCGCGAGAGUAAGCGGAUCCCAUAAAGCUUGUCGUAGUCCGGAUUGGAGUCUGCAACUCGACUCCAUGAAGUCGGAAUCGCUAGUAAUCGUGGAUCAGAAUGCCACGGUGAAUACGUUCCCGGGCCUUGUACACACCGCCCGUCACACCAUGGGAGUGGGCUGCAAAANAANUGGAUAGCUUAACCUUCGGGAGGGCGUUCACCACUUUGUGGUUCAUGACUGGGGUGAANUCNUAACAAGGUACCCGUAGGGGGGGGGGNGGCUGAAUCNCCUCCUU
rnacentral:rRNA from 1 species